GAUCAUGGCUCAGGAUGAACGCUGGCGGCGUGCCUAACACAUGCAAGUCGAACGAGAUGCGUAUUGGAAAGCUUCGGCCGGAAGAUACGUUAUCUAGUGGCGGACGGGUGAGUAACACGUGGGUAACCUGCCUUAUGAGGGGGAUAACAGAGAGAAAUCACUGCUAAUACCGCAUAAGCACACAGUACCGCAUGGUACAGGGUGAAAAGAUUUAUACGCCAUAAGAUGGACCCGCG
rnacentral:rRNA from 1 species